UGUCACAGCUCAGUUGGGAGAGCGUUAGACUACAGAUCAAAAAGUGCCUGGUUCGAUCCUCGGGUUCCGGCAA
rnacentral:tRNA from 1 species